GGCCUUGUAGCUCAGCUGGUAGAGCAUACGCGUACACAAUGUAGGCGGUGUCCAUUCGUGGGUUCGAAUCCCACCGAGGCUA
rfam:Echinostoma caproni strain Egypt genome assembly, scaffold: ECPE_contig0000078